AUUGAACGCUGGCGGCAGGCCUAACACAUGCAAGUCGAACGAGUGGCGGACGGGUGAGUAAUGUUUGGGAAUCUAGCUUAUGGAGGGGGAUAACUCCGGGAAACUGUAGCUAAUACCGCGUACCAUCGGAUGUGCACAAGUGGGAGUAGGUAGUUGGAGAGGUAAAGGCUCACCAAGACGACGAUCUCUAGCUGGUCUGAGAGGAUAACCAGCACAACUGGAACUGUGACACGGCCCAGACUCCUACGGGAGGCAGCAUUGGGGAAUAUUGCGCAAUGGGGGCAACCUGACGCAGCCAUGCCGCGUGGAUGAAGAAGGCCUUCGGGUUGUAAAGUUCUUUCGGUAGCGAGGCGUUACCUACAGAAGAAGCACCGGCUAACUCCGUGCCAGCAGUCGCGGUAAUAC
rnacentral:rRNA from 1 species